rnacentral:rRNA from 1 species
CAGAGGGUGCAAGCGUUAAUCGGAAUUACUGGGCGUAAAGCGUAUGUAGGUGGUUUUUUAAGUCAGGUGUGAAAUCCCUGGGCUCAACCUAGGAAUUGCAUUUGAUACUGGAAAGCUUGAGUGCGGUAGAGGGUAGUGGAACUCCCGGUGUAGCGGUGAAAUGCGUAGAUAUCGGGAAGAACACCAGUGGCGAAAGCGGCUACCUGGACUGACACUGACACUGAGAUACGAAAGCGUGGGGAGCAAACAGGAUUAGAUACCCUGGUAGUCCACGCCUUAAACGAUGGAUACUAGUUGUCGGGAAGUUUAACUUCUUGGUGACGCAGCUAACGCAAUAAGUAUCCCGCCUGGGGAGUACGGCCGCAAGGUUA